UACGUAGGUGGCAAGCGUUGUCCGGAUUUACUGGGCGUAAAGGGCGUGCAGGCGGUUCGUUAAGUCUAGGGUGAAAGCUCCCGGCUCAACUGGGAGAGGUCCUUGGAUACUGGCGGACUUGAGGGGAGUAGAGGAGAGUGGAAUUCUCGGUGUAGUGGUGAUAUGCGUAGAUAUCGAGAGGAACACCGGUGGCGAAGGCGGCCCCCUGGUUGGAUACUGACGCUGAGACGCGAAAGCGUGGGGAGCAAACAGG
rnacentral:rRNA from 1 species